GUGUCAGCAGCCGCGGUAAAACGUAGGACACAAGCGUUAUCCGGAAUUACUGGGCGUAAAGCGCGCGCAGGCGGGUCAACAAGUCAUGCGUGAAAGCUCCUGGCUAAACUGGGAGAGGUCGGAUGAGACUGUUGGUCUGGAGGGCGUCAGAGGAGUGUGGAAUUCCGCGUGUAGUGGUGAAAUGCGUAGAGAUGCGGAGGAACACCAGUGGCGAAGGCGGCACUCUGGGGCGCACCUGACGCUGAGGCGCGAAAGCAUGGGUAGCGAACGGGAUUAGAAACCCUUGUAGUCC
rnacentral:rRNA from 1 species